GUACUGAACAAAUACUGUGAUGUAAUACAUCUUCUACGCUAAAUGGUGUGGCAUACCUUGUGAUGUCAUUUUCCAUAAGGCUUGAAGAUGUGACUCCCCCUCCUUUUACACGAACUACAUACUUUUGCUAAAUAAUUUUGAUGUAAUAAGCCUGACACUGGAGAAUCACUGACAAAAAAAUGUACUUAAGUGAUGUGCAAGAAAGUUGUUCUGUU